AUACUUAAGAUUGGAGAAGUCACGACUUGUUUAGAUUAAAUUGUGAAAUAAGGGGAAAUUUAUCUUGGUCACAUCUCUACUUCUUUAGUUUCUCCCUCUCAUUGUGAGGGCCCUUUCUUUCUUUCCCCUUUGUCCUUGGCUUCUCACAUGUGCCUUCUUUCUGGUCUUGGAUGCCUGUAGCAUUUUACAAAGCUCCUCCAUUUCUGCUGAAUUGUUGAAAUCAAAUGAAGACUCAUACGGGAGAAAAGAUCCAAAUCAGCCAAGUUUUCUCAUAACUGCCUCCACUUAAGGAGGAUCUCUGGCCAAACCAAGUAGAGAAGAUAACCAUCAUGCUUCAGUACAAACCACCUCUUCCUCCAACCCUUCAGGAGCCCCGAGUUAGUCCGUUUGUGUAGAUAGCCACGACAGGUAGGCCAGGGGGUAUUGGGGCAGCGACUGAUGUCUG